CUUGACCUCAAAUCGAGUAGGACUACCCGCUGAACUUAAGCAUAUCAAUAAGCGGAGGAAAAGAAACUAACAAGGAUUCCCCUAGUAACGGCGAGUGAAGAGGGAAGAGCUCAAAUUUUGAAUCUGGCACCUUUGGUGUCCGAAUUGUAAUCUAGAGAAGUGUUUUCCGUGGCGGACCGUGCAUAAGUCUCCUGGAAUGGAGCGUCAUAGAGGGUGAGAAUCCCGUAUAUGGCAUGGACUCCCGUUGCUCUGUGAUACACUCUCGACGAGUCGAGUUGUUUGGGAAUGCAGCUCUAAAUGGGUGGUAAAUGCCAUCUAAAGCUAAAUAUUGGCGAGAGACCGAUAGCGAACAAGUACCGUGAGGGAAAGAUGAAAAGCACUUUGGAAAGAGAGUGAAACAGUACGUGAAAUUGUUGAAAGGGAAACGCUUGAAGUCAGUCGCGCCGUUCGGGAUUCAGCCUUGCUUCUGCUCGGUUUACUUCCCGUUGGGUGGGUCAACAUCAGUUUCGGUCGGAGGAGAAAGACUUGGGGAAGGUAGCAGCAUUCGUGCUGUGUUAUAGCUCCCUUGUUGUAUACUUCGAUUGGGACUGAGGAUCGCAGCACGCCUUUGGCCGGGGUUCGCCCACGUACGUGCUUAGGAUGUUGGCAUAAUGGCUUUAAGCGACCCGUCUUGAAACACGGA
rnacentral:rRNA from 1 species